CGUAGGUGGCAAGCGUUGUCCGGAUUUAUUGGGUUUAAAGGGUGCGUAGGUGGCCCUGUAAGUCAGUGGUGAAAUAUCUCAGCUUAACUGAGAGGGUGCCAUUGAUACUGCAGGGCUUGAGUACAGAUGAGGUAGGCGGAAUUGACGGUGCAGCGGUGAAAUGCAUAGAUAUCGUCAAGAACACCGAUAGCGAAGGCAGCUUACCAAGCUGUAACUGACACUGAGGCACGAAAGUGUGGGGAUCAAACAGGAUUAGAUACCCUGGUAGUCCACACUGUAAACGUUGAUGACUCGAUGUUGGCGAUACACAGCCAGCGUCCAAGAGCAAUCGUUAAGUCAUCCACCUGGGGAGUACGCCGGCAACGGUG
rnacentral:rRNA from 1 species